rnacentral:rRNA from 1 species
AAUUCCCAGUUCUUGGAAGUAAAAAUCGUAACAAGGUCUCCGUUGGUGAACCAGCGGAGGGAUCAUUA